GAACCAAGGCGGGCGGUCGCCGUCGGGUUGACUGGGGGCGCGAUCUCUCGCGCCAUCCGGCGCCCGGGGGAGGAAAGUCCGAGCUCCGCAGGGCAGGGUGGUCGGUAACGCCGACCGGGGGUGACCCUAGGGAAAGUGGCACAGAAAACACACAGCCGAUGGUUGCGCGGUCGCGAGGCCGCGCUUCACAGGCAAUGGUGAAAACGUGCGGUAAGAGCGCACGCGCGACAGCCGGGUGACCGGCGGCGAGCUAAACCCCACCCGGAGCAAGACCGAAUAGGCUGGCUUUCCGGAACGGCCGGGUAACCCCGGCACGCCGGAUCGUAGGGUUGCCCGCCCGAGACCAGCGGGUAAGGUCGCUCGAGGCGGCUGGCAACGGCCGUCCUAGAUGAAUGAUCGCUGCCCCGCACCGGGAAACCGGUGCCGGGAACAGAACUCGGCUUACAGCCCUGGUUCGACA
rnacentral:RNase_P_RNA from 1 species